UUUCAGUAAUCCCAUCACAGAGGGAAGGGAAACAACCACCCACAACCUGAGAGGCCAGGGCACCUCUUUGCUGAAAUUCCAGCAUCUUUCCCUCCUGUUUCAUAAAGGAUCAACAACAGCCAGGCAUAGUCAUUCCUAACAGCUCACUGGAUGGCAAGCAGGAAAAACAACCACAAAGCCAGAGCUUUAGAUCAGACUCAGCUCUGUCUCAAAAAGGCAUUGUUGAAAGGAUUAGAUGUUCAUAGUUUCUUUCUCCUGCAAACAGUUCAGUUUGUGUUUGCAAGACUCUGCUGUACUACCUGGUGGAAGGUACCUGAAUAUGGUGUUAGCUGAUAACACAGAGCAGUGACUAAUAAGGCCAUUAGACCAGAUUGUGUUUCACCUGCUGGAGAGGAAUGGUGCUUAGAAGUCUGUAAAAGUUGACUGAGAGAUUAUGUGCUUUUAAUUAUUAAGAAGUUAUAUAAAACUCCUCCCCAAAUCCAUUUAAUGUUCCUGUAAUCUAUCUUCUCAAACGUGACAAAUUCACCAGUCCACCUCUGGUCUCUGCUGAAGUUAUGGGGUGAGAAGUUUUGGCCCCGAGAGCUAUUUACGAGACAGGACUAUGGGGUUUAUUGCAGGGUGAAGCGUACUGAUGCAUUAUCCUCCCAGUUUAAUGGCAGUGUAGUAUUUUCUCAUGACCUUUUAAAAUGAAAUUGUUUGCUGCAGACAGUGGGAUGAUGGCUAUACCACCACAACCAAACAACAAAACCAGAGUUACGGGCUGAAGGGGCUUGGCUGAAAAAUAUUUGCUAUAAAAUGAGUAAGUACUUUGUCGUGUACUGAAAUGGGUGGCCUCUGUCAAUUGGAGGUGCAUGGCACCUGUACAGAUGCUGACACUGCUGUAAAUUCUCAGUCAUGCAGAUUCCUGGCCUCCUAAUGUUCCAUCUGAUGUUUGCUCCUCCUUCCGUUCCCACUACCUGGGAAGUCAGGAGACAUGGAUUUUACUCUGAAUAGGAGAAGACUUGGACUGAUCCUGGUCUCUGGCAGUCUGGUGUUCCAGAGUUUGUGACCCUCAGCUGAACAGGCCAGUCAGUUAGGCCCUGGGCUGUGUCAUCAGUCAUGAUUUGUUCAGUCAUAGCUCCUGUGCCAUGACAUGGUGGAAGAUGUGGUUCCUAAAGGCAAACUGGGCCCAUUAAGAACCUAAAAGGGCCAUACUGGUACCUUGAAAUGGACUGAUUAAUGAACAGGAAGCCAGUGCAGACUGCAAAGCACUGGUGUUACAUGUGAUUUUUGGCCCAUCCCACUUAAGAGAGAUGUUGCCCUGUGUUAUAGCUUCUCCACAGGCCUUUCCCUUCCAUCCCAGAUAGUGAUUUGCAGUAAAACCAACUUGGAGGUGCUGAAUGCAUGGAUCACUGGGGCCUAAUCUUCCUCUGAGAAGAAAGGACAAUGUCUUGUUUCUAGUCAAAGAUAGAAGAAGGUGAUUUUGAUGACUUGCUAGUUGGGUAUCCAAGAGCAACAAUGAGUCUAGCACAGAGGUGGACAA